rnacentral:rRNA from 3 species
GAUUCGUCACACUAUCAUUAACUGAAUCCAUAGGUUAAUGAGGCGAACCGGGGGAACUGAAACAUCUAAGUACCCCGAGGAAAAGAAAUCAACCGAGAUUCCCCCAGUAGCGGCGAGCGAACGGGGAGGAGCCCAGAGCCUGAAUCAGCAUGUGUGUUAGUGGAAGCGUCUGGAAAGGCGCGCGAUACAGGGUGACAGCCCCGUACACAAAAGCGCAUGUGCUGUGAGCUCGAUGAGUAGGGCGGGACACGUGGUAUCCUGUCUGAAUAUGGGGGGACCAUCCUCCAAGGCUAAAUACUCCUGACUGACCGAUAGUGAACCAGUACCGUGAGGGAAAGGCGAAAAGAACCCCGGCGAGGGGAGUGAAAAAGAACCUGAAACCGUGUACGUACAAGCAGUGGGAGCACCCUUCGGGGUGUGACUGCGUACCUUUUGUAUAAUGGGUC